rnacentral:lncRNA from 1 species
GAGAAAGCAGCGCAGAAGAAAGAGUGGGAAGAGUACUGUGUGGAGCAGAGGGCUUUUCUUGAUGAGAUGAAAAGGAAAACCAAGAAGAGAAAUUUCAGCUCGAGGAGGUUUACAGACAGCGGGAUCAUGCCCGUGAAGCUGAGAGGGAGAGAGAGAAAUGACUCGUGCGGCCAAGGCAGCAGAAGAAGCCGGUGAUGAAAAAGGAAAAUAUCCAC